rnacentral:sRNA from 1 species
UCACAAUUUGGCUUAACUAGAGAUUGU